GAUGAACGCUGGCGGCGUGCCUAAUACAUGCAAGUCGAGCGAACAGACGAGGAGCUUGCUCCUCUGACGUUAGCGGCGGACGGGUGAGUAACACGUGGAUAACCUACCUAUAAGACUGGGAUAACUUCGGGAAACCGGAGCUAAUACUGGAUAAUAUAUUGAACCGCAUGGUUCAAUAGUGAAAGACGGUUUUGCUGUCACGUAUAGAUGGAUCCGCGCCGCAUUAGCUAGUUGGUAAGGUAACGGCUUACCAAGGCAACGAUGCGUAGCCGACCUGAGAGGGUGAUCGGCCACACUGGAACUGAGACACGGUCCAGACUCCUACGGGAGGCAGCAGUAGGGAAUCUUCCGCAAAGGGCGAAAGCUUGACGGAGCAACGCCGCGUGAGUGAUGAAGGUCUUCGGAUCGUAAAACUCUGUUAUUAGGGAAGAACAAAUGUGUAAGUAACUAUGCACGUCUUGACGGUACCUAAUCAGAAAGCCACGGCUAACUACGUG
rnacentral:rRNA from 1 species